rnacentral:rRNA from 1 species
AAUCAACGCUGGCGGCGUGCCUCAGACAUGCAAGUCGAACGCGAAAGUCCCCUUCGGGGGACAAGUAGAGUGGCGCACGGGUGAGUAACACGUAGGUAAUCUACCUUCGGAUGGGGAAUAACAACCGGAAACGGUUGCUAAUACCGCAUAACGCAGCGGCACCUAAUGGUGACAGUUGUUAAAGCGGGGGAUCGUAAGACCUCGCGUCUGAAGAGGAGCCUGCGGCGGAUUAGCUAGUUGGAAGGUAAUGGCUUACCAAGGCUACGAUCCGUAACCGGCCUGAGAGGGCGGUCGGUCACACUGACACUGACAUACGGGUCAGACUCCUACGGGAGGCAGCAGUCGGGAAUUUUGGCGAAUAGGGCGAAAGCCUGACCCAGCAACGCCGCGUGAAGGAUGAAAUCCCUCGGGAUGUAAACUUCGCAAGAAACGGGAAGAAAUAAGCGAGAGUUAAUAUCUUUCGUGAUGACGGUUACGUUUGUAAGCUCCGGCUAACUCCGUGCCAGC